UACGGAGGGUGCAAGCGUUAUCCGGAUUCACUGGGUUUAAAGGGUGCGUAGGCGGACAGGUAAGUCAGUGGUGAAAUCUCUGGGCUUAACCCAGAAACUGCCGUUGAUACUAUUUGUCUUGAAUAUCCUGGAGGUAGGCGGAAUAUGUCAUGUAGCGGUGAAAUGCUUAGAUAUGACAUAGAACACCGAUAGCGAAGGCAGCUUACUACAGGAUGAUUGACGCUGAGGCACGAAAGCGUGGGGAGC
rnacentral:rRNA from 1 species